UUUGGCAAGGCCUUGGGUGUGCGCAACCAGAAGCUUUCGGCUUACGAGAAGGAUUUUUUGUUCGUCAUGAUGGCGGUGGACAAGUGGCAAGCUUAUUUGCAACGCGACCAGUUCACCAUUGUCACUGAUCACAAAAGUCUGUGCAACUUGGGUGAUCAACAACUCGAGACAGAUUUGCGAUGCAAAGCAAUGUCCAAGUUGGUUGGCCUGCAGUUUAAGUUUCAGUACCGGCGUGGAGUGGACAACGGAGCGGCAGAUGCCUUGUCACAGGUGGGUGCAACACUGGAUGUGGCCGCGCUCUUGCUGUGUCAGCCUACCUGGGUACAGGAAGUGGCCAAUUCAUAUGCCAUAGGCUCUGAUGCUCAGGAGAAACUAACACAGCUCGCCAUCCACAGUCCUGACGAGGAAUGGUUCUAG
rnacentral:rRNA from 1 species